rnacentral:lncRNA from 1 species
CAACAUUGAUAAUAAUCAGAAAUGUUUCUUGAGCAGCAAAUCAGCAUAUUAUUAUGAUUUCUGAAGAUCGUGUGACACUGAAGACUGGAGGAAUGAUGCUGAAAAUACAGCUUUGAUCACAGAAAUAAAAUACAGUUUACUAUAUAUUCACAUAGAAAACAGUUCUUUUAAAUUGUAAUAAUAUUUCAAAUUUUUUACCGUAUUUAUGAUCAAAUAAAUGCAGCCUUGCUCAGCAUUCUUUUAAAAACAUACUGUUUUUUUAACACAAUGGUAUAACUAUGGCAACACAAAUGUGACAUGCAAUGGUGCUUUUAUGUUACCAAAAAGGUUUAAUCUCUUAUAUAAAUAGAUUGCAUAAUUGCUAUUCUAUUGUGUUGUUUUCCUAACGCAUUAUUGUGUUUUAUAGUAGCAGCUCUUUUGAGUGGGUGUCAGAUUUCAUAUCGUCACUGUUGCAUGGCAACCUUUAAAAACUCAAGCUGUCACUAACAGCACUGAAGCCUCUUCAUUCACUAUUCAAUGGAAAAGCAAAUGUACCAUUAUGCAGAAAAAUGUCUGCCUCGAAAAAAGAAGGUUUGGGAGUCUUUCCAUUCGAACACCUUCAGGAUCUUUGAUGAGACGUUGCCAGAGCGUCUCGAUCCGGUCCGUGUCGAUCGGAACCAUAAAUAUCCUGCAAGAGACCCACGAGAGUCUGAGACCUGCAACGUCCCACAUCCUCACAACGCCAGAUUCAUCAGAACUAAUGUCAGAUUCCUUAAUGAGCCCAUCGCUCAUAUGGAGACGAGACGUACUGAGACAGAACAGUUUAACUGGUGGUCAAGCAGUCCUAAAGAAGAUCUUCCCGUGAAAGCACCUUACAGUAAAUCCAGCACUCAGAGAAGUGAUUUCCAGGCGAUCAGAGGCGCUCCAGUCAGAGAACGAGAGACCAACAGACCCGCAGCCACUGGAAUCGUUCCUGCUCUAAGUUCCCUUGAGCAAUCAGAAAAACUCCAAGAUUUUCAUAAACCUGAAUGAUUGUUGAAGAUUACACAAUCAGCCCUACAUAGGAAAGCGUCACAGAGGGUUGGUGUGGAGAGACGGGGAGGCGACGGGGCCAGGCACAUUCCAGAGCACAGAGGGGUUGCGUUUGCCCUCAGCAGGGACGGCCGACCUGUUGAACUGCUCUCAGCUGGCCUCGCUUUCAGCUCAACAGAUGUGGGAGAGAAAAGAGGCCCGUCCCAGCAGAGAGACCCCAGAGAUCAGCGUUCCCAGAGACGGAGGGGAAUCCCUUUCGUUCGGGUGGGACAGCGAACUGAACUCAUAAGAGCAUGUCCAGAUCAUAUUUCACCUCAAAACCAAAAGGAAAAAAUUUGGUUAUUUUCAUGAAGCACGUAUU